UACGUAGGGGGCAAGCGUUGUCCGGAAUCAUUGGGCGUAAAGCGCGUGUAGGCGGUCCGGUAAGUCCGCUGUGAAAGUCGGGGGCUUAACCCUCGGAUGCCGGUGGAUACUGUCGGGCUUGAGUACGGAAGAGGCGAGUGGAAUUCCUGGUGUAGCGGUGAAAUGCGCAGAUAUCAGGAGGAACACCAAUUGCGAAGGCAGCUCGCUGGGACGUUACUGACGCUGAGGCACGAAAGCGUGGGGAGCAAACAGG
rnacentral:rRNA from 1 species